CGCCAGGGCCGCGCUGAGGGCCGUGUGUGCCGCCCGCACCCAGCGCCCGCCGGGGCCCAUGGCCCCCCGGCUUCACCGGCUCCGGGGCUCCGCCAGCCCGGAAGGCCUCCGGACAGCGCGGGCAGGGCCGGACGGGACACGGGCAGCGCCCCGAGGCGGGGCCAGGGCGGCCCAGCCCUGCGGGGGAGGCUCCGCUGGGCUGUUGGGCUCGUUCCACUCCCAGAGCGGGCCUGGGUUCUGGUGGCUCGGACUCGGCAGACACCGUGAGCCGGGUCCCUGGCUCCUUUCGUCCUCCACACCGCCCCGGCGUUGUUGACCCGGCCCUGCGGGGCUUUUCCUCGAGGAAUGUUUUCCCUGAGCCCUUCCCGCGUGUCCUCCCGCCCUCAGCCCGGGCUCUGGGGCGCAGGGCUGGGCAAACUGUUCAGAACCUCCGUUACACCGGGGAGGCGCUGCUGGGUGCAUGGAGCUGGGGAAGGUUCGGGCAGCAGGUGCCGUUCAAAGGCUCCUCAAGGUGAUGCCCAAGGUGCUGCUCUGCCUUAAUCCUGCCCUUGCUAACGUGGUUAUUCCAUAUGUUGGUUUCCAGCCCCCGGGAAGAAGCGCGGAGAGGCUGUGCUUUGCUGGAAGCAGCCACACGACCCCAUUACAAAACAGAGCCUGGAGAACGUCUGACAUAACUCGAGGAGGGAUUGGAUCUGGUUGAGAUGGCUGCAGUCAAGAGGCUCCUGGCAGGGUGGGGUCACUGAACACCCCCGAGGGCUGCAGGUAAAUGCAAAGCCUAUGGCUCUCUUCCCUCAGACACCUCAGGCUGUACUGGUGCUCAGAAAAAGGUAUGAAAUUACAGCUCUCACUUUGCCAAUGAUCAGCUGGCUCUUACAACCCUCAAAGGAUGACUCCAAAGAAAGGUGGCAUCGCAAGGGUGAUGGACUCUACCUUCUGCAAAAUGCUCUCAUUGUAACUGUGCAGUUGGCAGUUCAGUGACAGGCCAGUAUGAUUCUGAAGGCAGGCAGCCUACCCAAGUAGAGGGAAAAGUGAUAACUGGAGACUACUGGCCUAAGAACUGCAAAUAGCCAUGUGGCUCCCUUGCUCAACAAGCCAAUCUACAACCCAGCUGCCUGGUAAUGAUCUCUGUGCACUGCCCACCUAUAAACAUCUCUAGUAUUGUUUUCAUCCUCUUUUUCCUCUGCUUCUCCUCUCUUCAAUUCAUACCUCUCGUACACAUCACUACAGGCCUUGCUUUGGUAGCCUCACUUUAGUGGAAGAAUUAAAAACUAAACUAAGGCUAAAUUGAGAGUUUGCAAUGUGCACUGGUGUCCUACCGGGCCAUUUCCUUGGUCUCUUGUCGUGCUGAGGCCAUUUUAAUCAUGUCCUUCAGGAGAGGAAUCCCACCUUCUUUGAUCAGCAGUGGGCAGUACUUGUCAGCUGCAGAGAAAAGAAUAAAUCAGGUCCUUGU